GACGAACGCUGGCGGCGUGCUUAACACGUGCAAGUCGAACGGAAAGGCCCUGCUUUUGUGGGGUGCUCGAGUGGCGAACGGGUGAGUAACACGUGAGUAACCUGCCCUUGACUUUGGGAUAACUUCAGGAAACUGGGGCUAAUACCGGAUAGGAGCUCCUGCUGCAUGGUGGGGGUUGGAAAGUUUCGGCGGUUGGGGAUGGACUCGCGGCUUAUCAGCUUGUUGGUGGGGUAGUGGCUUACCAAGGCUUUGACGGGUAGCCGGCCUGAGAGGGUGACCGGCCACAUUGGGACUGAGAUACGGCCCAGACUCCUACGGGAGGCAGCAGUGGGGAAUAUUGCACAAUGGGCGGAAGCCUGAUGCAGCAACGCAGCGUGCGGGAUGACGGCCUUCGGGUUGUAAACCGCUUUCGCCUGUGACGAAGCGUGAGUGACGGUAAUGGGUAAAGAAGCACCGGCUAACUACGUG
rnacentral:rRNA from 1 species